CACUAAUCACAUGCCUAUAACCUUUCUAUGCUGCAAUAAAUGAUGAUAAAGAACAGCAAAUUGAACCUACAAGAGUAAUCUUGUCAGAUUAUUUAGACACUAGUAGCUGAAGUAUUAAUUAUUGCCUUCAACAUUUUUAGUAUAUUUCUUUGUAAAAUCUACAUAAAAAACCACUUUUUGUUAGUCAACAUAUGCUCAAUGAACAGCAAUCUACACAUUCCAAUACAUGUUAUUUUUAAGUGUUGCUUUACUAUGAUUUUCUAAAAAAUCACUUUUUUAUUCUGCAGACUGGAUAAGGGAUGGCCACAUAGUAAUUCUGAGCUCAUUUUCUGUGAAUUUCUGAGCGGACUAGAAGCACCCACAGAGCACAGAGGCCAGUGACACCACAGAAAAAAUGCCUUCAGGUGCAAGAGGAAGGAUGCAAGUCCUGUUAUCACUGAACAGAAUGACACUUGCAGCAGGAAGUGAUUUGUAUGGUUCUGGAGCUCCUUGAUGUGCUGUUCCUGAAUCAGCCUGUCUCACUGCCCACUCCCCCUUGCCUGCAGGUAGGUUCACUGCUCGAGACAUGACCUGUUAGCUCAGUCUGGCUACUCACUGAGAAGUCUUUGCUACUAUCAAACCCCAGCCAUGCUUAUUAUGACUGCAACUACUUCAAAGAGCUCCUGACUCCUUUCUAACAAGUCUGGGCGAAAUUCAGCUCUGAUGCAGUUUCCUGAAAUCAUUCUGUAUUACAGCAGGAACUAAGUUGAUUCAGCCUAACUUUUUACACCUAUUACCUUUCUGGCCCACUGAUGAGCCAGUGAGCAAGUGUGUCAUUUUGUCCAACCAGGCUAAACAAGAUCUGAGUCUUGCAUGGCUUUAAGUGAAUGUGUCUCUUCCCUUCCUGACUAAUGAGUUCUCAUAAACCAUUUCUAUGACCAGCUUCUUCUAAGUUGAAGGCUUUUACUCUAUUGUUUAAUUGACGAGAAGUCUCAAGAAUUAUUGCUGUGGAGGGCAGUGAAAGGGAGAUUUCAUGGGUCUUACUUCCUUAUGAAGCCAAU
rnacentral:lncRNA from 1 species